ACUCUCCUGCUUUGCUCGUGAUGGUUAGAGGGCUCGUCUGAGCCGAUGUCUUCAACCCAAGCGAGUUGCGACGGCCAUGUGGUGUGCAUGCCUCCGCGGAGAGGAAGCCUAAAGCGUGGUUUUUACAGCAGCUCCACCUGCUAACGCAGGUUCAGCGAUCCCUCUCACACGGCAAAGCGGGGCUUUC
rnacentral:other from 1 species